rnacentral:rRNA from 1 species
AGAUUAAGUUAUUAAGGGCGCACGGUGGAUGCCUUGGCACUAGAAGCCGAUGAAGGACGUUACUAACGACGAUAUGCUUUGGGGAGCUGUAAGUAAGCUUUGAUCCAGAGAUUUCCGAAUGGGGAAACCCAGCAUGAGUUAUGUCAUGUUAUCGAUAUGUGAAUACAUAGCAUAUCAGAAGGCACACCCGGAGAACUGAAACAUCUUAGUACCCGGAGGAAGAGAAAGAAAAUUCGAUUCCCUUAGUAGCGGCGAGCGAAACGGGAAGAGCCCAAACCAACAAGCUUGCUUGUUGGGGUUGUAGGACACUCUAUACGGAGUUACAAAGGACGACAUUAGACGAAUCAUCUGGAAAGAUGAAUCAAAGAAGGUAAUAAUCCUGUAGUCGAAAAUGUUGUCUCUCUUGAGUGGAUCCUGAGUACGACGGAGCACGUGAAAUUCCGUCGGAAUCUGGGAGGACCAUCUCCUAAGGCUAAAUACUCUCUAGUGACCGAUAGUGAACCAGUACCGUGAGGGAAAGGUGAAAAGCACCCCGGAAGGGGAGUGAAAUAGAACCUGAAACCGUGUGCUUACAAGUAGUCAGAGCCCGUUAAUGGGUGAUGGCGUGCCUUUUGUAGAAUGAACCGGCGAGUUACGAUUUGAUGCAAGGUUAAGCAGUAAAUGUGGAGCCGUAGCGAAAGCGAGUCUGAAUAGGGCGUUUAGUAUUUGGUCGUAGACCCGAAACCAGGUGAUCUACCCUUGGUCAGGUUGAAGUUCAGGUAACACUGAAUGGAGGACCGAACCGACUUACGUUGAAAAGUGAGCGGAUGAACUGAGGGUAGCGGAGAAAUUCCAAUCGAACCUGGAGAUAGCUGGUUCUCUCCGAAAUAGCUUUAGGGCUAGCCUCAAGUGAUGAUUAUUGGAGGUAGAGCACUGUUUGGACGAGGGGCCCCUCUCGGGUUACCGAAUUCAGACAAACUCCGAAUGCCAAUUAAUUUAACUUGGGAGUCAGAACAUGGGUGAUAAGGUCCGUGUUCGAAAGGGAAACAGCCCAGACCACCAGCUAAGGUCCCAAAAUAUAUGUUAAGUGGAAAAGGAUGUGGCGUUGCCCAGACAACUAGGAUGUUGGCUUAGAAGCAGCCAUCAUUUAAAGAGUGCGUAAUAGCUCACUAGUCGAGUGACACUGCGCCGAAAAUGUACCGGGGCUAAACAUAUUACCGAAGCUGUGGAUUGUCCUUUGGACAAUGGUAGGAGAGCGUUCUAAGNNGGGUGAGAAUCCCGUCCACCGAUUGACUAAGGUUUCCAGAGGAAGGCUCGUCCGCUCUGGGUUAGUCGGGUCCUAAGCUGAGGCCGACAGGCGUAGGCGAUGGAUAACAGGUUGAUAUUCCUGUACCACCUAUAAUCGUUUUAAUCGAUGGGGGGACGCAGUAGGAUAGGCGAAGCGUGCGAUUGGAUUGCACGUCUAAGCAGUAAGGCUGAGUAUUAGGCAAAUCCGGUACUCGUUAAGGCUGAGCUGUGAUGGGGAGAAGACAUUGUGUCUUCGAGUCGUUGAUUUCACACUGCCGAGAAAAGCCUCUAGAUAGAAAAUAGGUGCCCGUACCGCAAACCGACACAGGUAGUCAAGAUGAGAAUUCUAAGGUGAGCGAGCGAACUCUCGUUAAGGAACUCGGCAAAAUGACCCCGUAACUUCGGGAGAAGGGGUGCUCUUUAGGGUUAACGCCCAGAAGAGCCGCAGUGAAUAGGCCCAAGCGACUGUUUAUCAAAAACACAGGUCUCUGCUAAACCGUAAGGUGAUGUAUAGGGGCUGACGCCUGCCCGGUGCUGGAAGGUUAAGAGGAGUGGUUAGCUUCUGCGAAGCUACGAAUCGAAGCCCCAGUAAACGGCGGCCGUAACUAUAACGGUCCUAAGGUAGCGAAAUUCCUUGUCGGGUAAGUUCCGACCCGCACGAAAGGCGUAACGAUUUGGGCACUGUCUCAACGAGAGACUCGGUGAAAUCAUAGUACCUGUGAAGAUGCAGGUUACCCGCGACAGGACGGAAAGACCCCGUGGAGCUUUACUGUAGCCUGAUAUUGAAAUUCGGCACAGCUUGUACAGGAUAGGUAGGAGCCUUUGAAACGUGAGCGCUAGCUUACGUGGAGGCGCUGGUGGGAUACUACCCUAGCUGUGUUGGCUUUCUAACCCGCACCACUUAUCGUGGUGGGAGACAGUGUCAGGCGGGCAGUUUGACUGGGGCGGUCGCCUCCUAAAAGGUAACGGAGGCGCUCAAAGGUUCCCUCAGAAUGGUUGGAAAUCAUUCAUAGAGUGUAAAGGCAUAAGGGAGCUUGACUGCGAGACCUACAAGUCGAGCAGGGUCGAAAGACGGACUUAGUGAUCCGGUGGUUCCGCAUGGAAGGGCCAUCGCUCAACGGAUAAAAGCUACCCCGGGGAUAACAGGCUUAUCUCCCCCAAGAGUUCACAUCGACGGGGAGGUUUGGCACCUCGAUGUCGGCUCAUCGCAUCCUGGGGCUGUAGUCGGUCCCAAGGGUUGGGCUGUUCGCCCAUUAAAGCGGUACGCGAGCUGGGUUCAGAACGUCGUGAGACAGUUCGGUCCCUAUCCGUCGUGGGCGUAGGAAAUUUGAGAGGAGCUGUCCUUAGUACGAGAGGACCGGGAUGGACAUACCUCUGGUGUACCAGUUGUCGUGCCAACGGCAUAGCUGGGUAGCUAUGUGUGGACGGGAUAAGUGCUGAAAGCAUCUAAGCAUGAAGCCCCCCUCAAGAUGAGAUUUCCCAACUUCGGUUAUAAGAUCCCUCAAAGAUGAUGAGGUUAAUAGGUUCGAGGUGGAAGCAUGGUGACAUGUGGAGCUGACGAAUACUAAUCGAUCGAAGACUUAAUCAAAA